rnacentral:rRNA from 1 species
GUCCACACUGUAAACGAUGAAUACUAGGUGUGCGGGGACUGACCCCCUGCGUGCCGCAGUAAACACAAUAAGUAUUCCACCUGGGGAGUACGAUCGCAAGGUUGAAACUCAAAGGAAUUGACGGGGGCCCGCACAAGCGGUGGAUUAUGUGGUUUAAUUCGAAGCAACGCGAAGAACCUUACCAGGGUUUGACAUCCUGCUAACGAAGUAGAGAUACAUUAGGUGCCCUUCGGGGAAAGCAGAGACAGGUGGUGCAUGGUUGUCGU